UGGGGAAUUGUUCACAAUGGGCGCAAGCCUGAUGACGCAACGCCGCGUGGAGGAUGAAGGUCUUCGGAUUGUAAACUCCUGUUGCCAGGGACGAAUAGCUCCGACCUAAUACGUCGGAGUCUGACGGUACCUGGUGAGGAAGCCCCGGCUAACUCUGUGCCAGCAGCCACGGUAAUACAGAGGGGGCAAGCGUUGUUCGGAAUUACUGGGCGUAAAGGGCGCGUAGGCGGCCUGCUAAGUCGAACGUGAAAUCCCCGGGCUUAACCCGGGAACUGCGUCCGAUACUGGUGGGCUUGAAUCCGGGAGAGGGAUGUGGAAUUCCAGGUGUAGCGGUGAAAUGCGUAGAUAUCUGGAGGAACACCGGUGGCGAAGGCGGCAUCCUGGACCGGUAUUGACGCUGAGGCGCGAAAGCUAGGGGAGCAAA
rnacentral:rRNA from 1 species